GAUGAACGCUGGCGGCGUGCCUAAUACAUGCAAGUCGAGCGAACAGACAAUGAGCUUGUGCCUCUGAGGUUAGCGGGUGACGGGUGAGUAACACGUGGAUCAGCUACUUAUUUUACGUGGAGAACUUCGGGGAGAAGGUGAUAAUACCAGCGAAUACAUUGAACCGCAGGGUUCAAUGGUUAUAGACGGCUUGGCUGUCACUUAUAGAUGGAGCCGCGCCGCAUUAGCUAGUUGGUAAGGUAACGGCAUACCAAGGCGACGAUGCGUAGCCGAGCUGAGAGGAUGAUCAGCCACACUGGAACUGAGACACGGUCCAGACUCCUACGGGAGGCAGCAGUGGGGAAUAUUGCACAAAGGGCGCAAGCCUGACCCAGCCAUGCCGCGUGAGUGAAGAAGGUCUUCGGGUCGUAAAGCCCUUUUAUUGGGGAAGAACAGCAGUGGGUUAAUAUCCCGACGUUUUGACGGUACCCAAAGAAAAAGCCCCGGCUAACUACGUG
rnacentral:rRNA from 1 species